rnacentral:rRNA from 1 species
UACGGAGGAUGCAAGCGUUAUCCGGAAUGAUUGGGCGUAAAGCGUCCGCAGGUGGCAAUGUAAGUCUGCUGUCAAAGCGUCUGGCUCAACCAGAUAAAGGCAGUGGAAACUACAUAGCUAGAGUAAGGUAGGGGUAGAGGGAAUUCCUGGUGUAGCGGUGAAAUGCGAAGAGAUCAGGAAGAACACCGGUGGCGAAAGCGCUCUGCUGGACCUUAACUGACACUGAGGGACGAAAGCUAGGGGAGCGAAUGGG